UACGGUUAUAUCCCGUAGGAAGACCGGUUCUCGUACGAUCACCGAAUUUAAGCAACGUCGAGUCUGGUCAGUACAUAGAUGGGUGACCGCUUGGGAAUACCAGGUGCUGUAAG